rnacentral:rRNA from 1 species
CACACGUCAUACAAUGGUCCGGUACAGGAGGGUUGCCAACCCGCGAGGGGGAGCCAAUCCCACAAAGCCGGUCGUAGUCCGGAUCGCAGUCUGCAACUCGACUGCGUGAAGUCGGAAUCGCUAGUAAUCGCGGAUCAGCAUGUCGCGGUGAAUACGUUCCCGGGUCUU